UAGUAGACAUUGCCACCCAAGCUCACCAAUAUCUUUCUCAUAGCCCAGUCCUUCACAGUCUUAUUUCUCAGGAAAAAAAUAAAAUAAAAAGUAAAAAGAAAAGGAAAUUCUGUGUUCCGGCGCGGGAAAAUCGCACCGGCGAAGUGUGCAGAUUGGUCGAGCAGAGGCUCCUGAGCUUGGAGCUUGGAGUUGCAUGGUUUGGGUUUGACAGAGAGUGGAGUGUGGGAAAAGCUGAGGUGGACAGUGAGGGAGCGAGUUCAUUGAGCUGUGCUGUGGUGACUCAGUGAGCCUUUUUCAAAAAAUGUCUUUCCAACCCAAAAGUUUGUGGACUCCAAGAGAUUCUAGCUGUCUAACUGAUGGAGAGAUGGGUUAUGAUAAUUCUUCCAGAUUAGAUUCAAAGCGUGGUCACCAGUGGUUUAUGGAUUCCAAUGGGCCGAAGCUCUUCAACAACAAGAAGCAAACAAUGGAGGCUGUUAAUGGCAGGCCAGUUUCAGGAGUUCCACAUUUGGCUAUUUCGCCGUGGGAAAAUACUUCAGGGUUUCAGUCAGUUCCAGGGCAAUUCUCUGAUCGGCGUUUCGGAUCUGAGCCAGUACGGCCAGUCAACCCAGGUGAGAGGAACAUUCAAUCUGUUGGAAAUGGACAUAUGAAUUUGGGAAGAAAGGGUUUUGAGAAUCAAUAUCGAAAUGAUCCGUCAGUGGGUUUGUCAAUGUCUAACUCUAUCGAAGACCAAUCAUCAUGUCUCAGUUUUGGUGGACUCAGAAAAGUUAAGGUCAAUGAAGUUAGGGACUCUGAGAACAUCAUGUCUGCGUCAAUGGGGCACUCCUACAUUAGAGGAGACAACAAUACAAUUUCAGUGAGUACUGCAUAUAAUAAGAGCAAUGACAACACCAUAUCUUUGGGUCCGACUUAUAAUAAUGGCGAAGAGAACGGAAUCUCAAUAGGCUGCCUUUAAUAAAGCAGAUGACAACUUCAUUUCAAUGGGUCACGCCUACAGUAAGGGAAAUGGGAAUUUCAUAUCGAUGGCGCAAAAUUAUAACAAGGGCAACAAUGGUAACUUAUCAAUGGGUCCGCCCUUUGCCAAGGAGGAUGGAAGUUUUAUAUCAAUAGGCCAGUCAUGUGAAAAGGGAGAGGGCAGUUUCAUAUCAUUAGGUAGAUCCUACAACAAAGGUGAUGAGAAUUUUAUUUCUAUGGGUGCAACAUAUGGUAAAGCAAACGAGAAUUUCAUCUCGAUGGCUCCCACCUAUGAUAAGCAGACUGAUAAUAUUACAUCAAUGGGUCCGGCCUAUGACAAGGCUGAUUCGACUGUUGUACCAAUUGGUCCUCCCUUUGAUAAAGGAGUUACCAAUUCUAUGUGUCAUAAUUACAAUAAGAAUGACAGCACCCAUCUCUUUUGGAAGUUUCCAUGAUGAACCCGAGACAAAUCCUUCUGGCGGGAUCAUCAACAACUAUGAUUUGCUGACGAGUAGUCAGAACACGGCUCAGCAGUCAGAAGAACUUGGCCUGAAGGAUCCAGUUCAGUCACAUACAGAUCCAAAUGUAGGUGAAGCUCUGCAAGUUGAUUCUAAAACUGAUACGGUUCCAAAAAUUAAAGAGCCAAGGACUGCUAGGAAAGCUCCUCCAAACAACUUCCCUUCAAAUGUCAAAAGUUUGUUAUCAACUGGCACGUUUGAUGGUGUUCCAGUGAAUUAUGUUUCCUGGUCCCGGGAGAAAAACCUCAAAGCAACCAUAAAAGGGGCCGGGUAUCUAUGUUCCUGCGAUCAAUGCAAUCACACAAAGUCUCUUAAUGCUUAUGAGUUUGAGCGUCAUGCUGGUGCCAAGACCAAACAUCCCAAUAAUCACAUCUACUUUGAGAACGGAAAGACCAUUUAUGCAGUAGUCCAAGAGCUGAAGAACACUCCUCAGGACAUGCUGUUUGAGGCCAUUCAAACUGUGACAGGGUCUCCUAUUAAUCAGAAGAAUUUCCGCAUCUGGAAAGCAUCAUAUCAAGCCGCAACCCGAGAACUUCAGCGUAUCUAUGGAAAAGAUGAAACUGCUGUACCUUCUUGACAUCGGAAUUUUCCUCAUCAACUUGUUAGGGGGUUAAAUUGAGAUGUGAUCAUGCAUGGCAGCAAUGCAGCGUACAGAUUAUAGUAAAUUACUAAGUUAUAGACACCUCGAUUUGAAUACUGCAUUUGGUGGAUGGUUUACAGGUAUUUCGCCGUUUGAAACAGUUCAUAUAAAAAUAGAAUUUUGGAUUUUGGACAGUUUAUUAUCUGUUACUUGAUAUUGUGUGAACGUUUGUUUUGCUCUCUGAAAAAUGUUUUGAAGUAACCAUGCUGAGUUGGCCGCUUUCCAAUUGAAGAAGCAUUGUCUUCAGGCUGAUAGAUGAUGCAGCCUCUCUGUGGAGGCUAACUAUUGUUUAUGUUGGUUAUCUUAGUCUUGCCAUUAAUUAAAUAAAUUUGAGGUUCA